UACGGAAGGUCCGGGCGUUAUCCGGAUUUAUUGGGUUUAAAGGGAGCGCAGGCCGGAGAUUAAGCGUGACGUGAAAUGCCGCGGCUCAACCGUGGAAGUGCGUCGCGAACUGGUUUCCUUGAGUGAGUACGACGUAGGCGGAAUUCGUGGUGUAGCGGUGAAAUGCUUAGAUAUCACGAAGAACCCCGAUUGCGAAGGCAGCCUACGAGGCCUCAACUGACGCUAAAGCUCGAAGGUGCGGGUAU
rnacentral:rRNA from 1 species